rnacentral:rRNA from 1 species
GGGAUCACACAAGCGGUGGAGCAUGUUGUUUAAUUCGAAGCAACGCGAAGAACCUUACCAGGCCUUGACAUGUACGGAUUAGCUCCCUGAAAGGGGAGUGACAGCUCUUCGGAGUCGGAACGUACACAGGUGUUGCAUGGCUGUCGUCAGCUCGUGCCGUGAGGUGUUGGGUUAAGUCCCGUAACGAGCGAAACCCUUAUCGUUAGUUGCCAGCGGGUAAUGCCGGGGACUCUAGCGAGACUGCCGUUGUCAAAACGGAGGAAGGUGGGGACGACGUCAAGUCAUCAUGGCCCUUAUGGCCUGGGCUACAAACGUGCUACAAUGGUCCGUACAAUGGGUACCCAAGUCGCGAGACGGAGGCAAUCCCAUCAAAGCGGGCCCCAGUUCGGAUUGCAGGCUGCAAUUCGCCUGCAUGAAGCCGGAAUCGCUAG